rnacentral:rRNA from 1 species
UACGGAGGGGGCUAGCGUUGUUCGGAAUCACUGGGCGUAAAGCGCACGCAGGCGGAUCGAUAAGUCGGGGGUGAAAGCCCGGAGCUCAACCUCGGAAUUGCCUUCGAUACUGGCGGUCUCGAGUCCGGGAGAGGUGAGUGGAAUUCCUAGUGUAGAGGUGAAAUUCGUAGAUAUUAUGAAGAACACCAGUGGCGAAGGCGGCUCACUGGCCCGGUACUGACGCUCAGGUGCGAAAGCGUGGGGAGCAAACAGG